rnacentral:rRNA from 1 species
UACGUAGGGUGCGAGCGUUACUCGGAAUUACUGGGCGUAAAGCGUGCGCAGGCGGUUUUGUAAGCCAGAUGUGAAAUCCCCGGGCUUAACCUGGGAAUGGCAUUUGGGACUGCAAGGCUGGAGUGUGGCAGAGGAGACUGGAAUUCCUGGUGUAGCAGUGAAAUGCGCAGAUAUCAGGAAGAACACCAAUGGCGAAGGCAGCUCUCUGGGACGGUACUGACGCUGAGACGCGAAAGCGUGGGGAGCGAACAGG